rnacentral:rRNA from 3 species
CCACCACCAAAGCAUUUGCUGUACCGCGUUGACGGAGCGAAGCGACGUCAAACCGAUAAAACAGCAGUGUAAAGUGAGCCGCAGGGCGCUUUGCGCGACAGCGCAAAGGCAGGCGGUUUCGCGUAGCGAAAGCGAAUGCUUUGGGGUGGGGUGACUGCGUACCUUUUGUAUAAUGGGUCAGCGACUUAUAUUCUGUAGCAAGGUUAACCGAAUAGGGGAGCCGGAGGGAAACCGAGUCUUAACCGGGCGUUAAGUUGCAGGGUAUAGACCCGAAACCCGGUGAUCUAGCCAUGGGCAGGUUGAAGGUUGGGUAACACUAACUGGAGGACCGAACCGACUAAUGUUGAAAAAUUAGCGGAUGACCUGUGGCUGGGGGUGAAAGGCCAAUCAAACCGGGAGAUAGCUGGUUCUCCCCGAAAGCUAUUUAGGUAGCGCCUCGUGAAUUCAUCUCCGGGGGUAGAGCACUGUUUCGGCUAGGGGGCCAUCCCGGCUUACCAACCCGAUGCAAACUGCGAAUACCGGAGAAUGUUAUCACGGGAGACACACGGCGGGUGCUAACGUCCGUCGUGAAGAGGGAAACAACCCAGACCGCCAGCUAAGGUCCCAAAGUCAUGGUUAAGUGGGAAACGAUGUGGGAAGGCCCAGACAGCCAGGAUGUUGGCUUAGAAGCAGCCAUCAUUUAAAGAAAGCGUAAUAGCUCACUGGUCGAGUCGGCCUGCGCGGAAGAUGUAACGGGGCUAAACCAUGCACCGAAGCUGCGGCAGCGACACUGUGUGUUGUUGGGUAGGGGAGCGUUCUGUAAGCCUGUGAAGGUGUGUCGUGAGGCAUGCUGGAGGUAUCAGAAGUGCGAAUGCUGACAUAAGUAACGAUAAAGCGGGUGAAAAGCCCGCUCGCCGGAAGACCAAGGGUUCCUGUCCAACGUUAAUCGGGGCAGGGUGAGUCGACCCCUAAGGCGAGGCCGAAAGGCGUAGUCGAUGGGAAACGGGUUAAUAUUCCCGUACUUGGUGUUACUGCGAAGGGGGGACGGAGAAGGCUAUGUUGGCCGGGCGACGGUUGUCCCGGUUUAAGCGUGUAGGUGUGUGUUCCAGGUAAAUCCGGUUCACUUUAACACUGAGGCGUGACGACGAGGCACUACGGUGCUGAAGCAACAAAUGCCCUGCUUCCAGGAAAAGCCUCUAAGCAUCAGGUAACAUCAAAUCGUACCCCAAACCGACACAGGUGGUCAGGUAGAGAAUACCAAGGCGCUUGAGAGAACUCGGGUGAAGGAACUAGGCAAAAUGGUGCCGUAACUUCGGGAGAAGGCACGCUGACACGUAGGUGAAGUGAUUUACUCAUGGAGCUGAAGUCAGUCGAAGAUACCAGCUGGCUGCAACUGUUUAUUAAAAACACAGCACUGUGCAAACACGAAAGUGGACGUAUACGGUGUGACGCCUGCCCGGUGCCGGAAGGUUAAUUGAUGGGGUCAGCGCAAGCGAAGCUCCUGAUCGAAGCCCCGGUAAACGGCGGCCGUAACUAUAACGGUCCUAAGGUAGCGAAAUUCCUUGUCGGGUAAGUUCCGACCUGCACGAAUGGCGUAAUGAUGGCCAGGCUGUCUCCACCCGAGACUCAGUGAAAUUGAACUCGCUGUGAAGAUGCAGUGUACCCGCGGCAAGACGGAAAGACCCCGUGAACCUUUACUAUAGCUUGACACUGAACAUUGAGCCUUGAUGUGUAGGAUAGGUGGGAGGCUUUGAAGUGUGGACGCCAGUCUGCAUGGAGCCGACCUUGAAAUACCACCCUUUAAUGUUUGAUGUUCUAACGUGGACCCGUUACCCGGGUUGCGGACAGUGUCUGGUGGGUAGUUUGACUGGGGCGGUCUCCUCCUAAAGAGUAACGGAGGAGCACGAAGGUUGGCUAAUCCUGGUCGGACAUCAGGAGGUUAGUGCAAUGGCAUAAGCCAGCUUGACUGCGAGCGUGACGGCGCGAGCAGGUGCGAAAGCAGGUCAUAGUGAUCCGGUGGUUCUGAAUGGAAGGGCCAUCGCUCAACGGAUAAAAGGUACUCCGGGGAUAACAGGCUGAUACCGCCCAAGAGUUCAUAUCGACGGCGGUGUUUGGCACCUCGAUGUCGGCUCAUCACAUCCUGGGGCUGAAGUAGGUCCCAAGGGUAUGGCUGUUCGCCAUUUAAAGUGGUACGCGAGCUGGGUUUAGAACGUCGUGAGACAGUUCGGUCCCUAUCUGCCGUGGGCGCUGGAGAACUGAGGGGGGCUGCUCCUAGUACGAGAGGACCGGAGUGGACGCAUCACUGGUGUUCGGGUUGUCAUGCCAAUGGCACUGCCCGGUAGCUAAAUGCGGAAGAGAUAAGUGCUGAAAGCAUCUAAGCACGAAACUUGCCCCGA